UACGUAGGGUGCAAGCGUUGUCCGGAAUUAUUGGGCGUAAAGAGCUCGUAGGCGGCUUGUCGCGUCGGCUGUGAAAACCUGGGGCUCAACCCCGGGCCUGCAGCCGAUACGGGCAAGCUAGAAUUCGGUAGGGGAGAGCGGAACUCCUGGUGUAGCGGUGGAAUGCGCAGAUAUCAGGAGGAACACCAAUAGCGAAGGCAGCUCGCUGGGACGGUACUGACACUGAGGCGCGAAAGCGUGGGGAGCGAACAGG
rnacentral:rRNA from 1 species